rnacentral:rRNA from 1 species
ACUAGCAGUAAGAGUUUGAUCCUGGCUCAGGACAAACGCUGGCGGCGUGCCUUACGCAUGCAAGUCGAGCGACGGACCACCUUCGGGUGGUUACGGAGCGGCGGACGGGUGAGUAACACGUAAGUAACCUGCCCAGAAGCGGGGGACAACUCUCCGAAAGGGGAGCUAAUACCGCAUGUGUCCACUGGUUUGUUCCAGUGGGUAAACCUUUGGGUUUCUGGAGGGGCUUGCGGCCGAUUAGCUAGUUGGUGGGGUAAUGGCUCACCAAGGCAGUUAUCGGUAGCUGGUCUGAGAGGACGAUCAGCCACACGGGGACUGAGACACGGCCCCGACUCCUACGGGAGGCAGCAGCGAGGAAUCUUGGUCAAUGGGCGAAAGCCUGAACCAGCGACGCCGCGUGGGGGAUGAAGGCCUUCGGGUCGUAAACCCCUUUUGCCAGGGAAGAAGAUCUGACGGUACCUGGCGAAUAAGCCACGGCUAACUACGUGCCAGCCGCCGCGGUAAUUC